rnacentral:rRNA from 1 species
UGUCGGCGAGGUUACUUUGAGUAAAUUAGAGUGUUCAAAGCAGGCCUACGCUCUGAAUACAUUAGCAUGGAAUAACACGAUAGGACUCUGGCCUAUCUCGUUGGUCUGUGGGACCGGAGUAAUGAUUAAGAGGGACAGUCGGGGGCAUUCGUA